GCGGUGGCGGUGGAAAGGCUCCUGGCGGAGGUCGCGACUUCUGGCUGGCUCGCAGACUCCGCGCGCAUGACUCCCUGUCGUAGCUGUUCUGAAACGGAAUUCGUUGCUCGCUUUUCACACGCCAAACGGGAUAAUUAGUGACAAACGGUUGUUGGAUCGUUAUGGAGGAGCUUAGCCUAUUAUUAAGCACCACUGGGCCAAGUGAACUACCUUAAUCACUUUUGAGAUGCGCCUAAACAGGUUUGCUCUGCACCGAUUUUCAGGAGGAGCUUUGAGGGGAAAAAAUGUGUUAAACAAUGGGAAGGUUAAAAAAAAAAAAAUUAAAAAUAAUCUUAUUCCAAAUUGUGUCGAGACUAUUGUGCAUGAAAAUUGUUAAUUACAUUCUUUUUUAAGGACUUUCGUUUUGUAAAAUAAAUAUAACUCUAAAGCAUUCCUGGGGUGUAAAUGUAUUGGGAUGCUAACAGGUGAAUGCAUCACACACAGCAAAGUAUAAGGAGCAGCCCCAUCAGGGUCUCAUGCAUUGCAAUCACGCGUAGCAGACAUGAGAGAAUUGGCGAGCGUGUUAUCCCGUAUACCUG